rnacentral:rRNA from 1 species
CCUACUGGAGGCAGCAGUGGGGAAUAUUGGGCAAUGGGCGCAAGCCUGACUCAGCACCGCCGCGUGAAGGAAGAAGGCUUUCGGGUUGUAAACUUCUUUUGUCAGGGACGAAGCAAGUGACGGUACCUGACGAAUAAGCCACGGCUAACUACGGGCCAGCAGCCGCGGUAACACGUAGGUGGCAAACGUGAUCCGGAUUUACUGAGUGGAAAGGGCGUGUAGGCGUGGAGGCAAGUCAGAUGUGAAAACCACGGGCUCAACCUGUGGCCUGAAUUUGAAACUGUUUUUCUUGAGUGCUGGGGAGGCAAUAGGAAUGCCGGGUGUAGCGGUGAAAUGCGUAGAUAUACGGAGGAACACCAGUGGCGAAGGCGGAUUGAUGGACAGUAACUGACGCUGAGGCGCGAAAGCGUGGGGAGCAAACAGGAUUAGAUACCCGUGUAGUC